rnacentral:rRNA from 1 species
UGGAGCGGCCGAUGUCUGAUUAGCUAGUUGGUAGGGUAAUGGCUUACCAAGGCGACGAUCAGUAGUUGGUCUGAGCGGACGACCAGCCACACUGGGACUGAGACACGGCCCAGACUCCUACGGGAGGCAGCAGUGGGGAAUUUUGGACAAUGGGCGCAAGCCUGAUCCAGCAAUGCCGCGUGAGUGAAGAAGGCCUUCGGGUUGUAAAGCUCUUUCAGUUGAGAAGAAAAAGUCGUGACUAAUAAUCAUGAUUCAUGACGGUAUCAACAUAAGAAGCACCGGCUAACUACGUGCCAGCAGCCGCGGUAAUACGUAGGGUGCGAGCGUUAAUCGGAAUUACUGGGCGUAAAGCGUGCGCAGGCGGUUUUGAAAGUCAGAUGUGAAAUCCCCGGGCUUAACCUGGGAAUUGCGUUUGAAACUACAAAGCUAG